rnacentral:lncRNA from 1 species
GUGAUCACCUUCAAAGCUUGCCCAUGGAUGCAAGAUUCAAUGCAUGCACAAUAUCGAAAUCGUUUCAAGUGAGAUGUUCAUGGCAAAAGUGUUGUUAAUGAUCAAGCAAAAAGAGGAAUUAAGGUUAGGCAUUUUGAGCUUACAUUUCCAAAGAAAUAAAUGUGUAAUUUAAGUAGUUUUACGCUGUGUUAAAAAUGUGCAUUGUCCAUUGAACGUGUUAUUUUCAUAACUAUAACGAACUUUGGAGUAAAGCUAAGUUUACGCAUGCAAUUAAUCGUGUACGAUUCGUUCCUCAGAAUUUUCUAUGUAUUUGUCUAUUUGAUCGAUAUCUGUCAAUAAUUCUCGUGUAGACCUCGUAUAUAUAGAGAAUAAUACAUGGAUGCGCGGAAAUACCUCAUUUAUUUCGAGUGUUGCAUGAACAUGAUAUCUCACUCGUUCGCUGCGCUCACUCAUGAGAUAUCAUGUUCAACACGAGAAAUAAAUCUGGUAUUUCCAAGCACCCAUGUAUUAUAAGGACAGUCUUUGAAAAGCGAUAAUUUUUACAGAAAAGUGACAAUUGAAAAGCGAUAAUUUUCACAUAUAAAUAAUCUCACAUGUGAGAUAAUCAGUUUUAUCGGUGCUCGAAAUCUCGAUAAAGCAUUGUACUUUAUAUGAUAAAUACCUGUAGUCCAUAGACCAGUUCAACUUUGUACACAAACAAGAGAUUUUAAGUACUGUUUAAUAAACGAGCAGGAGUGUUUUAUUAGGUUUAAAGCCACGAUCGCGCAGCCUUUACUAAUCGGCCAAUCACAUUUUACAAAAUUUUCUUUGCGGAAAAUUUUCCCAAGUGAAAAUAUGCGUUAAGCCAAGCAGGGAUGGAUUUACUGGAGGGGUGCGGGGUGUGUGUGUGUGUGCACCCCUUAUCCCUGGCCAGAGGGAGUGCAGGGGGGGUGCUAUUUUUCAUGAUAAAGCAAAAAAUUAUUAGAGGCAAAAUGAGAUACAGUAAUUUGAGUAAUAACAUGAUGAUAAGCGAACUGACAACAAUUAUACAAUUCAAAUACAGUAGUCAACCAAGACUUUGCGGUAGUGAAGCAAGUUGAUGGGCGGGCGGCACACAUGACCGAUGCAACUCGGCACCAGAGCUGGCAGAGCCCCCCCCCCCCCCCCUACCAGAUCAUGCUGGAUCCAUCCCUGAAGCCAAGGUGAUGCCAAUAUAAGGUGCAUGGUUAAAUGUCGGAAUUUUGGGCAUAUUAUAAGGUAGAUUCCCAAAAUCCUGUUAUUUGCCCUAUAUUUAAUAUUAAAUUAUUUUUAACACCAUGUAGUGGUCAAGGAGAGACAGUAGCGAGUAUUUUGAUUGACUUGAAUGGUUUCUGGACGUAUGAAAAUAGAGAGGUCUUGGUGAUGCAAGAAAGUCAGGGAGCUUCAGAGGUUUGAUGUAUCGACAAAUCAGGCAAGGCAUCAUUAGUUAUCCCUCCACAAAAUAAGAAUGUCUUUGCCACCACAAUAUCAGUAGGCAUCAUUUUGAAAGUAAAAUGAUACAGAAUCGCAUUUUUUUUUGUCCAAGGCAUAGACUUGACUACAGUCCUGACUCCUGAGUUGUAUAUAAAUGUACAGACGCUGUUAUUUAUUAAAUAUUUUACUGUUUUACAAUGUUGGCAACUUACAGUAGCAAAUAUUAAUGAAUCGGAAAUUUAAUGAAAUUGGGAAUUUCAGUUAGCUACGUUGUGAAUUUACUGGCUAAACGUACUUGUGAAAGCGGCGUGUAACACCAAAUUUUUGACUGUGGCUAGG